rnacentral:lncRNA from 1 species
AUAUUCCUUGCAGUGAGUAACUUAAGUUUCUCGACAAAUUAAUUAUCAUAUACUACAUAGUUUUUUUUAUCUUAUACAUAGUUGUUAAAUGCAAUUUAAGCAUGCUUAUUAGUAUUUUGAUGGUGUACAAACACGUGGUUACCAUUUUUAGAAAAGGGCCCCGGGUUCUAGUUUCGCCCCGGGCCCCCGAAAUCUCAGGACCGGCCCUGUCGACAUCUACAGGCAUGUUGAAUUGUUGACCCGAUUUGACGGACUAUAUAAGUGCUCUUCUCCUUGGGAAUUUGAAAGCACGCCCCUUCUAAGCAUCGCACAAUAUAUAGGCUUAUAUACGUGGUAGCAGUCAUUUUACAAGCAUGUGUGCAUUAGACCAGAAAAGGGGUAAAUUGCCUUUGAUACUGAUCUGGUACCCCCUAUAAGCGUAUGAUAUUAAAUAGGUUUCUAUUGAUUCAUCAACAGAGAAUUUAUGUCAAUUGAUUUAAUGUCGAUAUAAGCUUUAUGCAAGUUUGUUUUCUUGAGAGUACGCAAUCGGUACUAUAGCUUCUUUAUGCAAGUUUGUGAUUUUUGAAGUAGUGGAUCCUACCAGGUUUCAAACUCGCAGAGCAUAUUGAAGGUGGUACAAAUCAUUGCAGAGUGAAUUACAAGUAGCUAUAUGUGGAUUGGAAUUUAUUGAAGCUUUGCAUAUUCAAAUUUUUAAGUAGAAUGAGACGUGCAUUGCACGUGCAAGCUUACUAUGCUCUCAAAAGGAAAACGUUUGGGGCCGGCAGCCCUGCCGAGCUUUUCGUCGACUCACGUGCCACGAAAGACCCAUCCCGUGGAGAUACGUGUACAUGGUGGGUUCCGCGUGACUAUUAUUAUUUUUCUUUCACCUCCAGCCGUCGCGGCUCUACUCCUCCACGGCCUCCCUCAUGUUGCUCGCAAGCUCUAGAAGCUCCCUCACUGACGGCGAAGUGCUCAUGUGCGACGGCGCCCAAUGUUGCCUCUCCUUCAUGGCCGGCGAACCCCUCUCCCAUCCUUCCUCCUCAAUUCGGAUCCCCGCUAUCUCCCCAUGCCCAUGGCCGCCUCCAAUCCUCGGGAUCUCAACAAUGGCCUCUUCCCAACUAUGGCUUCGAGUCCCCGAGGGCGAAGCUACGGGAACCGUCUAUCAGGGCGCUGCAACCGGAGCUGCAAGGCUGCAACUACGGGCACACGUUGGACGGCGAGGAUGAGGCGAUGCUGCUCAGAGGAAAAAACUAAUGUCACAAUUUAUCCUACAUAUCAACAUAGCAGUUUGCUACAACCAACAUCAAGUUUUGCUAUAACACACAACAGGCGUCGCGGUUUUUCUACAACUAGCGUCGCUUUUUUGCUACAACCUGUUGGGGAACGCGGUAAUUUCAAAAAAAAUCCUACGAUCACGCAAAAUCUGUCUAGGUGAUGCAUAGCAGCGAGAGGGGAGAGUGUGUCCACGUACCCUCGUAGACCGAAAGUGGAAGCGUUUCAAUAAUGCGGUUGAUGUAGUCGAACUUCUUCGCGAUCCAACCAAUCAAGUACCGAACGUACGGCACCUCUACAUUCAGCACACGUUCAAAUCGGUGACGUCCCUCGUACUCUUGAUCUAGUUGAGGACGAGGGUGAGUUUCGUCAGCACGAUGGCGUGGCGACGGUGAUGACGAUGCUACCGGCGCAGGGCUUCGCCUAAGCACUACGAUGGUAUGAUCGAGGUGUGUAACUGUGGAGGGGGGCACCGCACACUGUUAAGAGAAACUUGUGUUCCUUUGGGGUGCCCCGUGCCCGCGUAUAUAAAGGAGGGAGGGAGAGAGGCCAACCCUCCUAGGGGCGCGCCAAGUGUGUCCUACUAGGACUCCCAAGUCCUAGUAGGAUUCCCUUUCCUUUUCGGAGUAGGAAAGAAGGAAAGGAGGGAGAGGGAGAAGGAAAGGGGGGGGGGCACCCCUUGUCCAACUUGGUUUGGGCAGGGGCGAGGCGCGCGCCACCUCGUGGCCCUUCUUCCCUCUCUCCACUAAAGCCCAACAAGGCCCAUUAACUUCCCUCGGCGAAUUCCUGUAACUCUCCGGUACUCCGAAAAAUACUCGAAUCACUCGAAACCAUUCCGAUGUCUGAAUAUAGGCUUCCAAUAUAUCAAUCUUUACCUCUCAACCAUUUCGAGACUCCUCGUCAUAUCCGUGAUCUCAUACGGGUCUCCGAACAAACUUCGUUCAACAAAUCACAUAACUCAUAAUACAAAUCAUCAUCGAACGUUAAGCGUGUGGACCCUACGGGUUCGAGAACAUGUAGACAUGACCGAGACACAUCUCCAGUCAAUAACCAAUAGCGGAACCUGGAUGCUCAUAUUGGAUCCUACAUAUUCUAUGAAGAUCUUUAUCGGUCAAACCGCAUAACAACAUACGUUGUUCCCUUUGUCAUUGGUAUGUUACUUGCCCGAGAUUCGAUCGUCGGUAUCAUCAUACCUAGUUCAAUCUUGUUACCGGUAAGUCUCUUUACUCGUUCCGUAAUGCUUCAUCCUGCAACUAACUCAUUACUCACAUUGCUUGCAAGGCUUAUAGUGAUGAGCAUUAUCGAGAGGGCCCAGAGAUACCUCUCUGGUACACGGAGUGAAAAAUCCUAAUCUCGAUCUAUGCCAACCCAACAAACACCUUUGGAGACACCUGUAGAGCAUCUUUAUAAUCACUCAGUUACGUUGUGACGUUUGAUAACACACAAGGUGUUCCUCCGGUAUUCGGGAGUUGCAUAAUCUCAUAGUCUGAUGAACGUGUAUAAGUCAUGAAGAAAGCAGUAGCAAUGAAACUGUAACAAUCAUAAUGCUAAGCUAACGGAUGGGUAUUGUCCAUCACAUCAUUCUCCUAAUGAUGUGAUUCCGUUCAUCAAAUGACCACACAUGUCUAUGGUUAGGAAACAUAACCAUCUUUGAUUAAUGAGCUAGUCAAAUAGAGGCAUACUAGGGACACUAUGUUUUGUCUAUGUAUUCACACAUGUAUUAAGUUUCCGGUUAAUACAAUUCUAGCAUGAAUAAUAAACAUUUAUCAUGAAAUAAGGAAAUAAAUAAUAACUUUAAUAUUGCCUCUAGGGCAUAUUUCUUUCAGUCUCCCACUUGCACUAGAGUCAAUAAUCUAGUUCACAUUGCUAUGUGAUUAACACCUAGAGUACUAAGGUGCGAUCAUGUUUUACUUGUGAGAGAAGUUUAGUCAACGGGUCUGUCACAUUCAGAGAGCCAUAUAUAUUUUGCAAUUAUUCUAUGUCUACAAUGCUCUGCAUGGAGCUACUUUAGCUAAUUGCUCCCGAGGCAUAGGGAAUGCCUUUUAUUUUCUUUGUAUCUUCUGCCGUGGUCGGGCUUUGAGUCUUACUCAACUUUACACCUUGUAACACAGGCAAGAACCCUUUCUUUGACUGAUCCAUUUUGAACUUCUUUAAAACUUUAUCAAGGUAUGUGCUUUGUGAAAGUCCAAUUAAGCGUCUUGAUCUAUCUCUAUAGAUAUUGAUGCCCAAUAUGUAAGCAGCUUCACCAAGGUCUUUCAUUGAAAAACUCUUAUUCAAGUAUCCCUUUAUGCUAUCCAAAAAUUCUAUAUCAUUUCCAAUCAACAAUAUGUCGUCCACAUAUAAUAUUAGAAAUACUACAGAGCUCCCACUCACUUACUUGUAAAUAUAGGCUUCUCCAAAAGUCUGUAUAAAACCAUAUGCUUUGAUCACACUAUCAAAGCAUUAGUUCCAACUCCGAGAGGCUUGCACCAGUCCAUAAAUGGAUCGCUGGAGCUUGCGCAUUUUGUUAGCAUCCUUUGGAUCGACAAAACCUUCUCAUUGCAUCAUAUACAACUCUUCUUCCAGAAAUCCAUUAAGGAAUGCAGUUUUGACAUCCAUCUGCCAAAUUUUAAAAUCAUAAAAUGCGGCAAUUGCUAACAUGAUUCGGACAUACUUAAGCAUCGCUACAGUUGAGAAAAUCUCAUUGUAGUCAACACCUUAAACUUGUCGAAAACCUUUUGCGACAAGUCGACCAUUGUAGAUAGUAACGCUACUAUCAGUGUCCGUCUUCCUCUUGAAGAUCCAUUUAUUUUCUAUGGCUUGCCGAUAAUCGGGCAAGUCCACCAAAGUCCAGACUUUGUUCUCAUACAUGGAUCCCAUCUCAGAUUUCAUGGCCUCAAGCCAUUUCGUGGAAUCUGGGCUCAUCAUCGCUUCCUCAUAGUUCGUAGGUUCAUUAUGGUCCAGUAACAUGACUUUCAGAAUAGGAUUACCGUACCACUCUGGUGCGGACCGUAUUAUGGGAGACCUACGAGGUUCGGUAAUAACUUGAUCUGAAGUUUCAUGAUCAUCAUCAUCAUUAGCUUCCUCACUAAUUGGUGUAGCAAUCACUAGAACUGAUUUCUGUGAUGAACUACUUUCCAAUUCGGGAGAAGGUAUGAUUACCUCAUCAAGUUUUAUUUUCCUCCCACUCACUUCUUUUGAGAGAAACUCCUUCUCUAGAAAGGAUCCAUUCUUAGCAACGAACAUCUUGCCUUCGGAUCUGUGAUAGAAGGUGUACCCAAUAGGUUCUUUUGGGUAUCCUAUGAAGACACAUUUCUCCGGUUUGGGCUCGAGCUUAUCAGGUUGAACCUUAUUCGCAUAAGCAUCGCAACCCCAAACUUUAAGAAACGACAGCCUUGGUUUGUUGCCAAACCACAGUGCAUACGGUGUCGUCUCAACAGAUUCUGAUGGUGCCCUGUUUAACGUGAAUGCAGCUGUCUCUAAUGCAUAAUCCCAAAACGAUAGUGGUAAAUCAGUAAGAGACAUCAUAGAUCGCACCAUAUCUAAUAAAGUACGGUUAUAACGUUCGGACACACCAUUACGCUGUGGUGUUCGAGGUGGCGUGAGUUGCGAAACUAUUCCAUAUUGUUUCAAAUGAAGACCAAACACGUAACUCAAAUAUUCGCCUCUACGAUCAGAUCGUAGAAACUUUAUUUUCUAGUAACUAUGAUUCUUCACUUCACUCUGAAAUUCUUUGAAAUUUUCGAAUGUUUCAGACUUUGUGUUUCAUUAAGUAGGCUCAAAUCAUUUGUGAUGGUCAAAAAAUAAUGAUACUUGCCACGAGCCUCAACACUCAUCAAAACACAUACAUCGGUAUGUAUUAUUUCCAAUAAGUCAUUAGCUCGUUCCAUUGUUUCGGAGAAUGAAGUUUUAGUCAUCUUUCCCAUAAGGCACGGUUUGCAAGUAUCAACUGAUUCAUAAUCAAGUGAUUCAAAAAGCCCAUCAGCAUGGAUUUUCUUCAUGCGCUUUACACCAAUAUGACCCAAACGGCAGUGCCACAAGUAUGUUGCCUAUCAUUAUCAACUUUGCAUCUUUUGGCAUCAAUAUUAUGAAUAUGUGCAUCACUACGAUCGAGAUUCAAUAAACCGUCAACAUUGGGUGUAUGACCAUACAAGGUUUUAUUCAUGUAAAUAAAAUAACAAUUAUUCUCUAUCCUAAAUGAAUAACCGUAUUGCAAUAAACAUGAUCUAAUCAUAUUCAUGCUUUAUGCAAACACCAAAUAACAUUUAUUUAGGUUCAACUCUAAUCCCGAAAGUAUAUGGUGUGUGCGAUGAUGAUCAUAUCAAUAUUGGAACCACUUCCAACAUACAUCGUCACUUCACCUUUAACUAGGCAUGGUACAAUUUCACUGCUCACUGCUAAAUGAAUUUUCUGAAGCUACCGGCAACAGUCAUCACACACACAGCUAACUGAAUUUUUUGAAGCAAUUUUCAACCUGUAUCAAUUUGAUUCGAUUUUGAUUUUGACCCGGAAAAUAAAAUUUUGAUUGCAAUCCAAUUAAACUCUAUGUAUCAAUUAAACUCUUCGUAUCAACUGUUAAUUUUGAUUGCAAUCAAGUUUUCGCAGGAACACAAGCAAAGUACCAGUGGCGUCAGGGGUCUUGGGCGGGGGUCGAAGGGCGUCGGCGUCGCCCACCACCAGUAGCAGCGGAAGUAGAGGCGUCGCCCACCACUACCACCACAACCAGCAGGCGCCUGAAGUAGACCAGCGCGGUGGCGACUGAAGUGGACCAGCAUGGUGGCAAUGGGCGGCAGAAUGUGGGCGAAGUAGACCGACGCGACAGUGGGCGGGCGACGGAGCUCUUCCUUGUGGGCGGGCGGCGGAGCUCCUCAUCAUGGGCGGUCGGUCGAGCUCCUUCAUGGGUGGGCGGCGGAGCUCCUCCUCCUGGGCGGGCUUGUAGGCGACGCAAGACCUGAUCGUGGGCGGCGCAGGAGCUGCUCCCGGAGACGGCUGGCUGCGGCAGCUAGCCGUGGCGACGGCCGGCUGGCCUUGGCGAUGCGGAUGACGGGAGGUGGAAGGAGAUGGAGUUUAUUUACAGAGCUUUGAAAGUGGAAGGGUGUUUUUCCAAAAAAAAAAAACUAUUGUACUGGGCGGGUGACAACUUUCCCCGGACGGAGGGAGUAUUGGUUUAUAGUGGGAGCAGUAUUCAUCAUUUUCCCAUCAGAAGCCAACCAAACCAUGUAGGACGUCCACUUGCCUGGAAGACCAACCCAUGCAUAUGAAUGCUGGCGACAUAAAAGAGAAUGUUCUCUAGGCACAACUUCACUAAUUAAAUAAUUCAUUAUGAUGACACCAGGUAGUUACUAUAUAUGUAACUCCACCGGCGUGACUGCAUUGCAAACCAUGCAACAACAAACAGGG